rnacentral:rRNA from 1 species
UACGAAGGGGGCUAGCGUUGCUCGGAAUUACUGGGCGUAAAGGGAGCGUAGGCGGACAUUUAAGUCAGGGGUGAAAUCCCGAGGCUCAACCUCGGAACUGCCUUUGAUACUGGAUGUCUUGAGUGUGAGAGAGGUGAGUGGAACUCCGAGUGUAGAGGUGAAAUUCGUAGAUAUUCGGAAGAACACCAGUGGCGAAGGCGUCUCACUGGCUCAUUACUGACGCUGAGGCUCGAAAGCGUGGGGAGCAAACAGG